rnacentral:tRNA from 1 species
AUACUGGUAGCUCAGUGGUAGAAUUCUCACCUUCCAUGCAGGGGACCCAGGUUUGAUUCCUGGCCAAUGUA